rnacentral:rRNA from 1 species
GUAGUCUCGCACAGAUGCAUAUCAAUAAGCGGAGGAAAAGAAACUAACAAGGAUUCCCUCAGUAACGGCGAGUGAAGCGGGAAGAGCUCAAAUUUGAAAUCUUGAAAGGUCACCUUUCACGAAUUGUAGUUUAAAGAAGUGUUUUCUGUUACGAUCGUAAUAUAAGUUCUUUGGAAUAGGACAUCACAGAGGGUGAGAAUCCCGUCUAUGAUUGCGAUUUGUAGCUUUGUGAUACACUUUCAAAGAGUCGGGUUGUUUGGGAAUGCAGCCCAAAACGGGAGGUAAAUUUCUUCUAAGGCUAAAUAUUGGCGAGAGACCGAUAGCGAACAAGUACCGUGAGGGAAAGAUGAAAAGGACUUUGAAAAGAGAGUUAAAUAGUACGUGAAAUUGUCAAAAGGGAAGCGUUUAACACCAGUGUUGUUUUCUGAAAAUCAACCUCUGUUAGCUUUAUGCAUGUUUGUUUAGACCUAAUCAGCUAUCUUGCAUGUUCUAUUGUUUGCAGUGGUGCACUUUUCAGUUUACAGGUCAACAUCAGUUUUUUUUACCGUAAAAAAGUUAAAGAAAGGUAGCUCAUGGCUCCGGUCGUGAGUGUUAUAGUCUUUUUCCUAUGCGGUAGGAGAGACUGAGGUCUGCAGUGUAGGCUAUUUGGCUAGAUACUCAGGUGCUAUGUGAUACCAUUUCAUAAACAACUUGUUGAUUAUGUUUUGUCUAUUGCAUACUCGCUUGUACUAUCAUACCUACGCUUAGGAUGUUGAAGAUGUAGCACAUCAU